rnacentral:lncRNA from 1 species
CUGAACAUUGACUGGAGGUGAGACAUAGAUGGCUUUAACUGGGCAUAAGCAUUCAUUUUCUACUCAGUCAAUUUUAAAAUUGAAUUCAUUCAUGAGUAGUUUAGGAAGCUGAAAUUUAAGUUGGUCGAAAAUUAGCUGCGCAUAAGCAGUUUCGAUUUCCAUAUCUAACUUGGUCGGAAAUUAAGUUCGAAAUAAGGAAGCUGAAAAUUAAAUACGAAAAUAAUAUAACAAAUAGGGAAGCUAAAAAUUAAAUUCGAAAUAAUCUUACCCAUGGCGUCAUCAGCAUCGAGGUCGUCGCCCCGGGAGCUGUCGGCUUUGGUUUCGUUGGCGGCUUCGUCACAAAAUUGCUCACCUUCAACCCAUGGUGUCAUCGGCCUCGAGUUCAUCAUCAUGUCACCACCGACGUCGAAGUUGCCUGCGCCAUGGAAUGGAUUUGGUUCAGAUUUGAUUUUGGAUUUGGGAUGAAAACUUUUAGUUUCGAAAGGGGGGGAAAUAUGCGGGGGAAACAGAGGUGCCUUUUUUCUUCUUUUUCACUGCUCAUAAGACGAGAUUUUGACUUUCAAAGUUACCGCCACGUCAGCAUUG